UCCUACGGAUGAGCAAAGAAAGUGGUUUCUUGAGAUGGAAUCUACUCCUGGUAAAGCUGCUGUGAA
rnacentral:pre_miRNA from 2 species